UACGGAGGGGGCUAGCGUUGUUCGGAAUUACUGGGCGUAAAGCGCACGUAGGCGGCUUUGUAAGUUAGAGGUGAAAGCCCAGGGCUCAACCCUGGAAUUGCCUUUAAGACUGCAUCGCUUGAACAUCGGAGAGGUAAGUGGAAUUCCGAGUGUAGAGGUGAAAUUCGUAGAUAUUCGGAAGAACACCAGUGGCGAAGGCGACUUACUGGACGAUUGUUGACGCUGAGGUGCGAAAGCGUGGGGGAGAAACAGGAU
rnacentral:rRNA from 1 species